rnacentral:rRNA from 1 species
CCUACGGGAGGCAGCAGUGGGGAAUAUUGGACAAUGGGCGAAAGCCUGAUCCAGCAAUGCCGCGUGAGUGAUGAAGGCCUUAGGGUCGUAAAGCUCUUUUACCAGGGAUGAUAAUGACAGUACCUGGAGAAUAAGCUCCGGCUAACUCCGUGCCAGCAGCCGCGGUAAUACGGAGGGAGCUAGCGUUGUUCGGAAUUACUGGGCGUAAAGAGUACGUAGGCGGUUAUUCAAGUCAGAGGUGAAAGCCCGGGGCUCAACCCCGGAACUGCCUUUGAAACUAGAUAACUAGAGUCUUGGAGAGGUUAGUGGAAUUCCGAGUGUAGAGGUGAAAUUCGUAGAUAUUCGGAAGAACACCAGUGGCGAAGGCGACUAACUGGACAAGUACUGACGCUGAGGUACGAAAGCGUGGGGAGCAAACAGGAUUAGAUACCCUGGUAGUCCACGCCGUAAACGAUGAUAACUAGUUGUUCGGUCACUUGGUGACUGAGUGACGCAGCUAACGCAUUAAGUUAUCCGCCUGGGGAGUCGGUCGCAAGNUUAAAACUCAAAUGAAUUGACCGGNNGNGANGCGAGCGACACGAGGAGAG